AGUGAACGCUGGCGGUAGGCCUAACACAUGCAAGUCGAACGGCAGCACAGGAGAGCUUGCUCUCUGGGUGGCGAGUGGCGGACGGGUGAGGAAUACAUCGGAAUCUGCCCAGUCGUGGGGGAUAACGUAGGGAAACUUACGCUAAUACCGCAUACGACCUUCGGGUGAAAGAGGGGGAUCGCAAGACCUCUCGCGAUUGGAUGAGCCGAUGUCGGAUUAGCUAGUUGGCGGGGUAAUGGCCCACCAAGGCGACGAUCCGUAGCUGGUCUGGGAGGAUGAUCAGCCACACUGGAACUGAGACACGGUCCAGACUCCUACGGGAGGCAGCAGUGGGGAAUAUUGGACAAUGGGCGCAAGCCUGAUCCAGCCAUACCGCGUGGGUGAAGAAGGCCUUCGGGUUGUAAAGCCCUUUUGUUGGGAAAGAAAUCUUUCAGGCUAAUACCCUGGGAGGAUGACGGUACCCAAAGAAUAAGCACCGGCUAACUUCGUG
rnacentral:rRNA from 1 species